UACGUAGGGUGCGAGCGUUGUCCGGAAUUAUUGGGCGUAAAGAGCUCGUAGGCGGUGUGUCACGUCGGCCGUGAAAACCUGCAGCUUAACUGUGGGCGUGCGGUCGAUACGGGCAUCACUGGAGUUCGGCAGGGGAGACUGGAAUUCCUGGUGUAGCGGUGAAAUGCGCAGAUAUCAGGAGGAACACCGGUGGCGAAGGCGGGUCUCUGGGCCGAUACUGACGCUGAGGAGUGAAAGCGUGGGGAGCGAACAGG
rnacentral:rRNA from 1 species